rnacentral:rRNA from 1 species
GGCAAGGAUCAUUAUUGAAAUAAAGCUUGGUUUGGGCUGUUGCUGGCUCUUUAAAUGCAUGUGCACGCCCAACAAAUCAAUCUUUUUCUUACCACCUUGUGCACCUUUGUAGAUCUGGANUUAUAAUGUAGGAUUUAUUUCCUACAUUUCCGGUCUAUGUAUACUAUUACACCAUUAGUAUGUCUAUGANUGUUUUGUUAUUAGACUUGACUGUCUAAGUAAAAACCUUUGUACAACUUUCAACAACGGAUCUCUUGGCUCUCGCAUCGAUGAAGAACGCAGCGAAAUGCGAUAAGUAAUGUGAAUUGCAGAAUUCAGUGAAUCAUCGAAUCUUUGAACGCACCUUGCGCUCCUUGGUAUUCCGAGGAGCAUGCCUGUUUGAGUGUCAUAAACUUUUCAAACCUCUUUAACUUUGUUAAUUAGGCUUGGAUUUUGGGAGUUAAUGCCGGCUUUGUGAAAGUCGGCUCUCCUUAAAGUUAUUAGUAGGAACCUCUUUUAGCCUUUUGGUGUAAUAAUUUGUCUACAUCAUUAUGUGGAGAGGUCACUGCUCUUUGUAACCGUCUCUGUAAUGGGACAAUUCUUUUGGACAAUUGGACCCCAAUUCAGGAAGGACUCCCCCCGGACCUUAGCCUAUCCAUUAG